UUCUUUCGCUUAAUAUUUUCAGAGCACCUACCUAUUAUAGGCACUGUCACUUCUCACAAAACUGGGACAACUAACUGUUUAUCCAACAUCUGCUGGCUAAAUAAAGACAUGAUCUUCACCUUUUGGGAUUGUUAAUUUAAAAUGGUUCCAUAAGAGCAAUGCAAAGACAGAGAUAUUUGGCAGCACUGCAGCUGGUGAUUUAUAUGGCUCUUCACAAGGUGUUAUUUUGGGGUAUCAAGGUAUGGAUGCUUAAAUCAGCUGCAGGAAGUAAGAAAGAAGAAAAAAGGAGUGAUAAAGAUAAAAAAAAAUCAACCUUGGUCCUUCCACCAAGACCCAUUAAUUUCCAUAUCAUCAUCUGCAUAAGAGGGAAGAUUCCUACAUGACCAGGUUACUGCAAGGAUGUGAAUUUUGAAUAUUAAAAUAUUAUACACAAUUGGAAA